GAUGAAGAACGCAGCGAAAUGCGAUAAGUAAUGUGAAUUGCAGAAUUCAGUGAAUCAUCGAAUCUUUGAACGCACAUUGCGCCCCCUGGUAUUCCGGGGGGCAUGCCUGUCCGAGCGUCAUUACAACCCUCAAGCUCAGCUUGGUGUUGGGCCCCGCCGCCCCGGCGGGCCCUAAAGUCAGUGGCGGUGCCGUCCGGCUCCGAGCGUAGUAAUUCUUCUCGCUCUGGAGGUCCGGUCGUGUGCUCGCCAGCAACCCCCAAUUUUUUUCUGGUUGACCUCGGAUCAGGUAGGGAUACCCGCUGAACUUAAGCAUAUCAAUAAGCGGAGGA
rnacentral:misc_RNA from 1 species